rnacentral:snoRNA from 1 species
ACCUUCUCAUUUCCUUCCCCAUCAGAUCUACACAUUGGUCUGAGUGUCUUUAAAAAGAGGAAAAGUAAACCGAUGCAGACUUACUCUUUUGGGACAUCCAAGUUCGUUUCAAAACAAA